rnacentral:rRNA from 1 species
GCAGUAGCCGCGGUAAUACGGAGGGGGCUAGCGUUGUUCGGAAUUACUGGGCGUAAAGGGCGCGUAGGCGGUUUUGACAGUCAGAUGUGAAAUUCCUGGGCUUAACCUGGGGGCUGCAUUUGAGACGUCAAGACUAGAGUGUGAGAGAGGGUUGUGGAAUUCCCAGUGUAGAGGUGAAAUUCGUAGAUAUUGGGAAGAACACCGGUGGCGAAGGUGGCAACCUGGCUCAUUACUGACGCUGAGGCGCGAAAGCGUGGGGAGCAAACAGGAUUAGAUACCCCCGUAGUCCCUGUCUCUUAUAC